rnacentral:tRNA from 1 species
AGCAAUUUGGCGCAGUGGAAGCGCGGUUAGUACAACUUCCCUCCACAAUAGGUACCACAAAUUCUAACCCACAACAGCCGGGCUCAUAACCCGGAGGUCGUACGAUCGAAACGUACAAUUGCUA